AGAGUUUGAUCCUGGCUCAGGAUGAACGCUGGCGGCGUGCCUAAUACAUACAAGUCGAGCGAACGGACGAGAAGCUUGCUUCUCUGAUGUUAGCGGCGGACGGGUGAGUAACACGUGGAUAACCUACCUAUAAGACUGGGAUAACUUCGGGAAACCGGAGCUAAUACCGGAUAAUAUUUUGAACCGCAUGGUUCAAAAGUGAAAGACGGUCUUGCUGUCACUUAUAGAUGGAUCCGCGCUGCAUUAGCUAGUUGGUAAGGUAACGGCUUACCAAGGCAACGAUGCAUAGCCGACCUGAGAGGGUGAUCGGCCACACUGGAACUGAGACACGGUCCAGACUCCUACGGGAGGCAGCAGUAGGGAAUCUUCCGCAAUGGGCGAAAGCCUGACGGAGCAACGCCGCGUGAGUGAUGAAGGUCUUCGGAUCGUAAAACUCUGUUAUUAGGGAAGAACAUAUGUGUAAGUAACUGUGCACAUCUUGACGGUACCUAAUCAGAAAGCCACGGCUAACUACGUGCCAGCAGCCGCGGUAAUACGUAGGUGGCAAGCGUUAUCCGGAAUUAUUGGGCGUAAAGCGCGCGUAGGCGGUUUUUUAAGUCUGAUGUGAAAGCCCACGGCUCAACCGUGGAGGGUCAUUGGAAACUGGAAAACUUGAGUGCAGAAGAGGAAAGUGGAAUUCCAUGUGUAGCGGUGAAAUGCGCAGAGAUAUGGAGGAACACCAGUGGCGAAGGCGACUUUCUGGUCUGUAACUGACGCUGAUGUGCGAAAGCGUGGGGAUCAAACAGGAUUAGAUACCCUGGUAGUCCACGCCGUAAACGAUGAGUGCUAAGUGUUAGGGGGUUUCCGCCCCUUAGUGCUGCAGCUAACGCAUUAAGCACUCCGCCUGGGGAGUACGACCGCAAGGUUGAAACUCAAAGGAAUUGACGGGGACCCGCACAAGCGGUGGAGCAUGUGGUUUAAUUCGAAGCAACGCGAAGAACCUUACCAAAUCUUGACAUCCUUUGACAACUCUAGAGAUAGAGCCUUCCCCUUCGGGGGACAAAGUGACAGGUGGUGCAUGGUUGUCGUCAGCUCGUGUCGUGAGAUGUUGGGUUAAGUCCCGCAACGAGCGCAACCCUUAAGCUUAGUUGCCAUCAUUAAGUUGGGCACUCUAAGUUGACUGCCGGUGACAAACCGGAGGAAGGUGGGGAUGACGUCAAAUCAUCAUGCCCCUUAUGAUUUGGGCUACACACGUGCUACAAUGGACAAUACAAAGGGCAGCGAAACCGCGAGGUCAAGCAAAUCCCAUAAAGUUGUUCUCAGUUCGGAUUGUAGUCUGCAACUCGACUACAUGAAGCUGGAAUCGCUAGUAAUCGUAGAUCAGCAUGCUACGGUGAAUACGUUCCCGGGUCUUGUACACACCGCCCGUCACACCACGAGAGUUUGUAACACCCGAAGCCGGUGGAGUAACCUUUUAGGAGCUAGCCGUCGAAGGUGGGACAAAUGAUUGGGGUGAAGUCGUAACAAGGUAGCCGUAUCGGAAGGUGCGGCUGGAUCACCU
rnacentral:rRNA from 1 species